AUGAACGCUGGCGGCGUGCCUAAUCCAUGCCAGUCGAGCGAACAGACGAGGAGCUUGCUCCUCUGACGUUAGCGGCGGACGGGUGAGUAACACGUGGAUAACCUACCUAUAAGACUGGGAUAACUUCGGGAAACCGGAGCUAAUACCGGAUAAUAUAUUGAACCGCAUGGUUCAAUAGUGAAAGACGGUUUUGCUGUCACUUAUAGAUGGAUCCGCGCCGCAUUAGCUAGUUGGUAAGGUAACGGCUUACCAAGGCAACGAUGCGUAGCCGACCUGAGAGGGUGAUCGGCCACACUGGAACUGAGACACGGUCCAGACUCCUAAGGGAGGCAGCAGUAGGGAAUCUUCCGCAAUGGGCGAAAGCCUGACGGAGCAACGCCGCGUGAGUGAUGAAGGUCUUCGGAUCGUAAAACUCUGUUAUUAGGGAAGAACAAAUGUGUAAGUAACUAUGCACGUCUUGACGGUACCUAAUCAGAAAGCCACGGCUAACUACGUG
rnacentral:rRNA from 1 species